UACGUAGGGUGCGAGCGUUGUCCGGAAUUAUUGGGCGUAAAGGGCUCGUAGGCGGUCUGUCGCGUCGGGAGUGAAAACUCAGGGCUUAACCCUGAGCCUGCUUCCGAUACGGGCAGACUAGAGGUAUGCAGGGGAGAACGGAAUUCCUGGUGUAGCGGUGAAAUGCGCAGAUAUCAGGAGGAACACCGGUGGCGAAGGCGGUUACCUGGAGCUUUGCUGACGCUGAUGCGCGAAAGCGUGGGGAGCGAUCCGG
rnacentral:rRNA from 1 species